ensembl:lncRNA
CCUGCCUGGUGUAGGCCAUGUGUUGGUAAGAGCUGCUGAGAUGGAGAGUGCAGAAUGUUGUCUGAGGAAACAACUUCUUCAGGUUCAAGGUAUCAAGGUGUUGUGGGAGGGAAACACUUCAACUUCCUGUCCUUGUGUAGCUGUGGGCUUCCACAGUUGUCUCCACAGCUAUAGAUUUUGUCAUGAUGAUUCUUUCUCCUCCUCAGGUGGGAUUUACAGGGAUUUAUUUUAUUACAUGUGGUUGUUAUCUUAUUCAGCUGAAAUUCCUUUACUUGUGCACUGCUCGAGUGGGCUCAGUAGAGAUGGUCCUGAUGUCACAUGUGGAUUGUUCUGAUAUCUGCAAGAACACCCAAAAAGCUGCAUGAUAAGCCCAGUUUGUGUGGUGCAAGCUGUCAACAGAGAUGACACCGUGAGUGCUCCUGUGCUUUGGCACUUGCUGUGUUCUCUUGAAGGAAUAUAUCUGUUUAUUAGAGCUGUCACAGCUCUAAUCACAGAACUUUUAAUAACUCUAACCUGCAGGUCAGUGGUGUUUCUAAGACAGAUUACUGAAAAGGAUCAAAACAUUCAUGUUGAAGAUCGUGUAGCUGGGAAGAGGUUUUAGACAUUCUGUACAUCCUUUGUGGUGAUCAUGAAGGAAGAUGAGGAAGUACAAGGGUCUGGAUCAGCUGCAGAUGGGGUUUACAGGCAGGGCUUGUUGCUGAGGUUGAGCAAUGUUUGAUAUUCUGGCAAUGAUCCUGUGUGUGGCAAUAAAUAAGGCGUGGGCCUGUGUGAUGGGGAGGGUGAAUUAGAGUGGGGAUGAGUGUUGCCCCAGGGAAGUACAAAUGCUGAGUAGAACACGGCCUGCAUCGCUGUGGAGGAACUGGAGAAUGUCUGGAUAGCUGUGGAGAUCUCAUUUCCCAUGCCUUGUGACAGAGGAUGCCAACAGAAAGACUUGAGAAAAUGCCCACGGUGUGAUGCUGCUCUUCUGGGAGCUUCUCAGAACCUCCAGCAGCUCUCUGUGUUCUUGCUUUCUGUUGUUCCCUGUGAUAUUACAGCUUCUGAAGGGACUUGCCAUCCAUGCCUUUAAUAAUUUGUUUUUGAUGUGGAAUUUUCCUGGUAAAACAGAAGACUUUUUGAACUGUGUGUCAUUCUGCCAGCCUUUCUUGGGCCAUGGCAUCAGUCAUCUCCCUGGUCUUGGUCUUCUAGCUGGCAUUAAGGGGCACUGUCCCUUGAAAGAAGUGUUCUGGGGGCUGGAGUUUCUUUUUCUGAAGCAGCAAGCAGUGAUGCUACAGGUGAGUUACUCCUUCCAGAAGAGCCCGUGUGUGAGAGACAGGUGUACUUUGGUUCCUGUGAUGCCUUAAUUUUUAGCUUUACUGACAUAUGUUCCAUAUUUUCCAUAUUCUGUACUGCAUUUUUCAUAUUUUGCAGAUUCUGUACUGCAUUAUUAUAUAACUCUGAACUUCAUGUAAAAUGUUAGCAAAUUUUCCUCACAAUUCAGUCACAGAAAACAUUCCUUUUCCAGCUGAGAACCAAGGACAGCAUUGCAGCUUCAGGCCCAAAAAGUACAGCAGUGAAUUGAAGAGAGCAGUCUGGGAAGAUGGAACUGCAUACCCUGGAGCUGUAAUUGGACAAUAAACCCCAAAAUGUGGAUAUACCA